UACGUAGGGUGCGCGCGUUGUCCGGAAUUACUGGGCGUAAAGAGCUCGUAGGUGGCUUGUCGCGUUGUUCGUGAAAACUCACAGCUUAACUGUGGGCGUGCGGGCGAUACGGGCAGACUAGAGUACUGCAGGGGAGACUGGAAUUCCUGGUGUAGCGGUGGAAUGCGCAGAUAUCAGGAGGAACCCGGAAGGCGAAGGCGGGUCUCUGGGCAGUAACUGACGCUGAGGAGCGAAAGCGUGGGGAGCAAACAGG
rnacentral:rRNA from 1 species